GUCGUUGCCUUUUUUUAGUUAUAUCCUUUUCAAUUUCUAUUCUCUUCCCUUUUUGAUGGAUUAACUGCUGGACAAACUCCGGAUUUUGCAUAGCUCUUGCUAAAAAAUUCAUCAUUUGUUGCUGCUUCCUCUCUGUUCCUUGUAACUUUACCUCCAAAGAUCGAAUGUAAGCUCGAGUAUUCUGUUGAUUCUGUCUAAGCUUCACUAGUUCCAUCAUCAAUACUUGCUUGUCAUGCCUCAAUCGAUCAACUUCUCCAUAAAAUCCAAAUCUUCCCAAUUCGACACAAGGACCGAGACCUUGCUCU